AGCCCUGGCAAUGGACAAAGAGUCACCUUGUUGGUGGUGUUGCUCUCACAUCAGUCAGGGGCAGAGAAGACGGCAGUCCUUUGUUCAUCCUAGCUUGAUGCUUGGCUUGGUGACCAAAACUGUUCUAUGGCUGAGACUCAUCA